ACAUUUCCCAGGAAUCCGUUCUCAUCGGGCUACGGCGCUACGAUUGUUUUUUGUUGCUACAGGAGAGGAGACUCCUAGGAUGCCUCUCUGAAUAAAGACGCUCAAAGUGCGAAGUGACUAGAUGGGAGCUAAAGCGGAAAACUAGGGAAUGGGAGGUAAAGUGGCCUUGUGAGAAGGAAUGCCUGCCCAAAUAUCAGAUUUGGAGAUCAUGGAUGAAGAUCAAUUAAUUGAAGAAGUCUUGGAUAAGUUUGUAAAUUGCCAUGAACAAACAUACGAAGAAUUCCUGAGCACUUUUACUCAUCUUUCAAAAGAGGAUAAUGUGACCAAACGAGGAGCAUUUGGAACUGAUUCUUCAGAAAACGUAUUUCCUUCAGUAAAAUUUGCUCAUGAAAAUGAACCAAAUGAUCAUCAUCUUAGAAACAAAGCUGUCUUUCUUCAUACUUCAUCACAAUGUUCAGAAGACGAACAGAUAGUGAUAGAUGAAGGCCAAAAAGUUGGCAGUUCCUUUCAAGGUGAUCUGAAUCGGGCUGGAAAGGUGAAGGUAGACAAUUUCCUAGAUUUAGAAGAUUUGGAUGUGGAUGAAGAGACUCAGCCCCAAAUGAGUAAGGACUUGCUGCUGCUUCCAGGGGAAGUGGAGGAGGACUUCUACCCACGUGUCCCUUCUUAUAUUCCUUCUGCGGCCCAGCCCUUCGCCCCUGGGGUCAAGCCAGGGCCUGCUGGGAGAGGAGCCAACGAGCAAACAGAAGAGACACUCGGAGAUGAAGUCCAGCCCUUCUCACUUGACGAAGAAUUUGAUUAUGACGCUGUGAUGCUAACCCCCAAGUUCACUCCUGCAGAGAUUGAUGCGAUCACACAGCUGUCCAAGCAAGAGAGAUCACCGACACAGACUUAGAGGAACCCCACGGCUGAUUCAUGGAGACAUCUUUGUGUUCGUGUUUAUUUUGUUGUUAUACAAGCAACAUUAGAAUAAAAGGUGUACAGCAUAGUGAUUCGACCUCAUGCUACGCUCUCCACAAGUGUACCAGCCAUCUGUCACCAUACGACACUAUUACGCUAUCGUUGACUAUAUUCCCUAGGUGGUGCCUUUUAUUCCCCUGACUGGAAGCCUGUAUCUCCCACUCUCCUUCACCUGUUUUUGCCUGUCUCCUAAGCCUCCUCCUCUCUGGCACCCCACUUUAGUUUCAGCUGUCCUGCCAGGACCUCCUCUGCUUGGAGAGCUCAGGGACUUGCUGUCCCACACGCUGCCUCACCUCCAGCCCCUCUGCCAGGGCACCCCAGGCACAGAGUGCCCUGGGACUCCCUGGCCUGUGCCUGCUUCAGCGUCACCCGUCCUGCCAGGGUACCCACGGUGCACGGAACAGAAGGGUCUGUUCUGAUGAUAGCACAGCAGCUAGGUAAUGUGCGCUAUUGCAACAAAGAUGGGAAACAUCAUCCCACCUCCUUGGGGGUGAAACACUGUAGCACGUAGAGACAAACUGACACAGUGGUGGGGGGGCGGUCACUGGUCCCAGCUCUCCGGAGACUGGGGUGUGAAUGUGCGUGCUGAGAGGUUGGGCUCCUAGGAUCGAUCAGGAAAGGCUUCACUGAAAAGGAGGCAUCUGAGAAUUGAUUAUAUGUCAUAUAUUAAAUUCUUGUACUUUGGCAUUGCCAUUAAGCCUUCUGUGAUGAUCGUUACAAAGUACAAGGAAUGGUGUCUCUAUCCAGAAGCUUAGAAUAAUUUAAGAAGGCAAGACUUAGGUAGAGAAAGUAACUGGAGGAUGUGGAAGCAUAUUAUGAAGUGCUCAUUGGGAAGGAUACGCAUAAAUGUGUUCACGGAAGGAGGAAAGAACAGGGAAGGCGCAGGAAAAGGGGGAAUCGUAUGCAUGAAGUCAUUUUCAUUAUUAAAGGAAUCGGUAACAAGUCCAGUGUGCGUGGGCUUAAUGGGUUUUCAUGCAGGCCUGUGCUUGUGGGUGCCACUGAUAUUCCUUACAAAGGACAUUCUUGUUUUAAUGUGAUUUCCACAUCUAUUUUUCUUUAUCUAGUGAACAAACUUUCAUAAAACACUAUUUUCGUGCCAGACCUUAAACCAGGCAAUGGGGAAGAGGCGGUAAAUUAGACGUGGUCUGAUUUAGUUUGGAAGAUAGAUGCGUACACUAACUCCAGCAGAGCUGUGCUGUCCGAUGGAAUAGCCACAAGCUAUUGACGCUGCGUGAGGCUGCGCGAGGCUGCUGAGCACGGGAAGUGUAGCUAGGAUGACCGUGGGACGGAUUUUUAAAUGUUAAUUUCCCUUUGAUGUGAAAUAAAAAGGUAAUGUAAUGUUCAGCAUGGGGCAUAUAGUCAGAAACAUUCUAUUAACUUUGUAAGGUGACAAGUGGUAGGUGAUUAGACUUAUUGUGGUAACCAUUCUGCAGUGUGUACGAAUGUCAAAUCCCCAUUUUAUACACCUGAAACUAAUACACUGUAUGCCAAUGACAAAGAAAGACAGGGCCCCGGUCUUUUUUUUUUUUUAAAGUCGAUAUUUGAUAGAGUUAUUAUAAAACUUUCAGGUAUACAUUUGAAACAAUGUAGGUAUGGGAAUCUAUUUUUUUCAUCUUUAAAUUUUAUGACAGGUAAAUACAGAUCAGUUAUUUUUGAUGACAACUUUAGUACCUAAUUUAAAAUAUGCUAUAAAUGUGAAAUGCAUAUUGGAUUUUUGAAGAAUUAACAUGAAAAAUUGUAGACUCUCUUCUUAUUUUUUUGUGCGUGGAUGACAUGUUAAAAUGAUAUGGGUCAAUGCUAUGAAUCUCUCUGGUUAAAUAAAAUAUUUAAUUCACUGA